rnacentral:lncRNA from 1 species
CUCCUAGGUCUGUCUAAACCAUUUCUCUCAUUUUCUACUUUAUGCUCUGAUACCACUUUAUUUGUCACGCCCCGCGACAGCCCGCCUAUUUGGCCGGGUCGCGGCGCCGCAAACAGACCGCCGAACGCACAGAGUUUCCCCUGUACGUCCUAGGCGUCGCAAUCAAUACAAUAUACAAAUGUUCCAACCAGGGACUAAUAUCAAUCAAAAUUGCAUAAGGAAGUAUCAAUAACAUAAAACUAACUGCUAUUACAAGCAUACAUUUCUUACAACAUUUUACAUCACAGUUUUUCUUUUACAUUCGUUGACUUCCAAAAACAAUCACAUUAUUAUAUUUUAGUACUCUGUCCUCUAGUCUCCUAAGCUAAACAGUCUCAGGGUACUGCUACCUCGGUCUCUGUGGUAAGGAGCUAUCUACGAAGUUACGCCCUUGCCUUGCGCCGCCACGCCGCUCACGUACGAACCUGAAACACCCCAAAAUAACGUGGGGUGAGAACCAACUCCAUGGUUCCCAGUGGGUACGG